rnacentral:rRNA from 1 species
GGAAACCUACGGGAGGCAGCAGUGGGGAAUAUUGCACAAUGGGGGAAACCCUGAUGCAGCGACGCCGCGUGAGUGAAGAAGUAUUUCGGUAUGUAAAGCUCUAUCAGCAGGGAAGAUAAUGACGGUACCUGAGUAAGAAGCCCCGGCUAACUACGUGCCAGCAGCCGCGGUAAUACGUAGGGGGCAAGCGUUAUCCGGAUUUACUGGGUGUAAAGGGAGCGUAGACGGAGGAGCAAGUCUGAUGUGAAAAUCCGGGGC